rnacentral:lncRNA from 1 species
GCCCAGGAUGUGUCCAAUGGCUACCUUUUUAUGCUUUUAACGGCUAUUUUCUUCUCCCAAGCAUCUCCAAUAGCUAGCUCUUCAUUUUCUUUAUAUAUUGGCCAUUCCAACACACAAAAAUGUUGAUGAAGCAAGAAAGGAAGUGCUAACAAGUUAUAUUUUCAUUUUCUCUUAGAAACAAGAGUUUUUAGAGCUUAAGUUCAAUAUCCUUUGUAUUUUUUGUAUCCAAAAUAUUGUUGUUCUUCAUUCAUCACAUUUCCUUAUAUUUCAUUAGGCAAAAACUUAGCCUUUGAGAGGUAUUUUAAGUUUGCAUUGUUAUUAAGUGAUUUUGUAAUCAAGAGGUGAGGUAACCUUUUGAAUUUGUGAAACUGAAAGGUUACUACUUAGCCUAGAAAGUAUAGAGUAUAAGGUUUCUAUUUUAAGUCUUAGUAAGAAAAAGAUAGGGUUGUAAUUUCAAUUCAAGUAUAAUGGAUUGAAUCCUUGGUGUGAAUAAUCAAGAGAAAAAACAUGGUACCUUAUGGAAAAGGACUAAACUCUCUAAAUUCUUGCAUCUGAUUUCUCUAUCCCUAUCUCUUUAUUUUGAUUAUUGUUCAUAUUUGCUUAUAGUUCAUCAAUUCAUUAUUGUUUGCAUCAUAUUUUGAUAUUGGUUUUAAUUUUCAUCCAAUUAUAUUGAAAUCAUUUGUUUGGAAAGAAUUUGGGAAAAUCCAAUUCACCCCCUUCUUGGAUCACCAUCUCACCUAUAAAGCUACAGUCCUCUUUCUUGGUUGCCUACACCAAGGCUUCAAUCUACUAAUUAAAAAAAACUUCCUAUAAGAUAUAAACCUAUCUUGUACUAAAUCCCUAUUUUUUUUUCUUAAGGCGUAGAUAGCAACCUCUACUCUUACAAAAUCAAAAGGAUACCUCACCUCUUGCUUACAAAAUAACCCAAAUGAUUUUGCAAACUAACAUACCUUAUAUAGCAACCUCUACUCUUACAAAAUCAAGAGGAUACCUCACUUCUUGCUUACAAAAAACCCAAAUGAUUUCGUAAACUAACAUACCUCUAUAAAGUUGAGUGUUUGCCUAACGAAGUACAAAAAGAAUGAUGAAUGAAUACAACAAAAAUAGUUUGGAUAGAAAAACAAAUACAAAGAUAUGAACUUUGAAGCACUAAGAACUCUUGAUUCUUGAGAGAAUAAAUAUAUGACUUGUUUUAUCUUGCUCUUUUGAUUCAUUAACCUUUUUAGUGUGCUAAUUGCCUUAUAUAUAGAGGAAUCG